UACGUAGGUGGCAAGCGUUGUCCGGAUUUACUGGGCGUAAAGAGCGCGCAGGCGGUCGUUCAAGUCGCGUGUGAAAGCCCCCGGCUCAACUGGGGAGGGUCACGCGAUACUGAUCGACUCGAAGGCAGGAGAGGGUAGUGGAAUUCCCGGUGUAGUGGUGAAAUGCGUAGAUAUCAAGAGGAACACCUGAGGUGAAGACGGGUUGCUGGGCUGACACUGACGCUGAGUGCGCGAAAGCUAGGGUAGCAAACGGG
rnacentral:rRNA from 1 species